rnacentral:rRNA from 1 species
GACGAACCGUGCGAACGUUAUUCGGAAUCACUGGGCUUAAAGCGCGUGUAGGCGGGCCGGCCCGUCGAUGGCUGAAAGCCCCCGGCUCAACCGGGGAACGGGCCUCGAAACGACCGGCCUGGAGGGGGGUAGGGGGAGCCGGAACUUCCGGUGGAGCGGUGAAAUGCGUUGAGAUCGGAAGGAACGCCCGUGGCGAAAGCGGGCCCCUGGACCCGCCCUGACGCUGAGACGCGAAAGCCAGGGGAGCGAACGGG